rnacentral:rRNA from 1 species
ACGCUGGCGGCGUGCCUAACACAUGCAAGUCGAGCGGUAACAGGUGUAGCAAUACAUGCUGACGAGCGGCGAACGGGUGAGUAAUGUUUCGGAAUCUGCCCAAUGGUGGGGAAUAACCAGCCGAAAGGUUGGCUAAUACCGCAUAAGUCCUACGGGAGAAAGCGGGGGAUCGUAAGACCUCGCGCCGAUGGAUGAGUCGAAACCGGAUUAGCUAGUUGGUAGGGUAACGGCCUACCAAGGCGACGAUCCGUAGCUGGUCUGAGAGGACGACCAGCCACACUGGGACUGAGACACGGCCCAGACUCCUACGGGAGGCAGCAGUGGGGAAUAUUGGACAAUGGGGGAAACCCUGAUCCAGCGACGCCGCGUGUGUGAAGAAGGCCUGCGGGUUGUAAAGCACUUUUAGUGGGGAUGAAAAGCACAGGGCUAACACCUCUGUGUCUUGACCUAACCCACAGAAAAAGCACCGGCUAACUCUGUGCCAGCAGCCGCGGUAAUACAGAGGGUGCAAGCGUUAAUCGGAAUUACUGGGCGUAAAGCGUGCGUA